GGGAUGAUGCGCGGGGGGAUAACGCGCUAGGGGCAGGAGGCGGGUGGUCGCCCGGAGACUCCGCACCUCGGAGUGACGUCCUGCUGCAGUGCCGCUGCCUGCGCUGCCCGAGCUCGUCAAUGGAGCUGGAAAACAUCGUUGCCAACACCGUUUUGCUGAAAGCCAGGGAAGGGGGUGGAGGGAAACGCAAAGGCAAAAGCAAAAAGUGGAAGGAAAUCUUGAAAUUCCCUCACAUUAGCCAGUGUGAAGAUCUCCGAAGAACCAUAGAGAGAGAUUACUGCAGCAUAUGUGAAAAGCAGCCGAUCGGAAGGCUUCUCUUUCGGCAGUUCUGUGAAACUCGACCCGAGCUCGAGUGCUGCAUUAGGUUCCUUGACUCGGUGGCGGAAUAUGAAAUUGCUCCAGAUGAAAAGCUGGGAGAGAAAGGAAAGGAAAUCAUGAUGAAAUACCUCACCCCAGAGUCUCCAGCCUACGUUGCCGAAGUCAGUCAAGACCUUAUCCAGCAGACAGAGGAGAAACUCAAAAACAGCCCCUGCAAAGAGCUAUUCUCCCACUGUACAAAAUCUGUCCUUGACCACCUCAGUGGGGAACCAUUCCAAGAAUACCUGAGCAGCAUGUACUUUGACAGGUUUCUUCAGUGGAAGUGGUUGGAAAGGCAACCAGUAACGAAAAACACGUUUCGGCAGUACAGGGUACUGGGGAAGGGCGGCUUUGGGGAGGUCUGCGCCUGCCAAGUGCGGGCGACGGGGAAGAUGUACGCCUGCAAGAGAUUAGAGAAGAAGAGGAUCAAGAAGAGGAAAGGCGAAUCCAUGGCGCUAAACGAGAAGCAGAUCUUAGAAAAAGUCAAUAGUCAGUUUGUAGUCAAUUUAGCCUAUGCCUAUGAAACAAAGGACGCCCUGUGUUUAGUUCUGACCAUAAUGAACGGAGGUGACCUGAAGUUUCACAUCUACAACAUGGGAAACCCAGGCUUUGAGGAGGAAAGAGCUUUGUUUUAUGCAGCAGAGAUUCUUUGUGGCUUGGAAGACCUACACAGAGAAAAUACUGUGUACAGAGAUCUGAAGCCAGAAAAUAUCCUGCUGGAUGAUUAUGGCCAUAUCAGAAUAUCUGAUUUGGGUCUAGCUGUUAAAAUCCCUGAGGGUGAAUCAAUCCGUGGAAGAGUAGGGACAGUAGGGUAUAUGGCUCCAGAAGUGUUGAACAACCAGAGAUACACACUCAGCCCUGACUACUGGGGGCUAGGCUGUCUCAUUUAUGAAAUGAUUGCUGGGCAAUCACCAUUUCGUGGAAGGAAGGAGAAGGUGAAGAGGGAAGAAGUGGACAGGAGGGUGCUGGAGACAGAAGAGGUGUACUCCCACAAGUUUUCUGAGGAGGCCAAGUCCAUCUGUAAAAUGCUCCUCACCAAAGACGUGAAGCAGCGGCUGGGAUGUCAGGGGGAAGGUGCAGCAGAAGUGAAGAGGCACCCCUUCUUCAAGAGCAUGAAUUUCAAGCGGUUAGAAGCAGGAAUGCUGGAUCCUCCCUUUGUCCCUGAUCCCAGAGCAGUGUACUGCAAGGAUGUGUUGGACAUCGAGCAGUUCUCCACAGUGAAAGGAGUUAACCUGGACCAAACAGAUGAUGAUUUCUAUUCCAAGUUUUCCACAGGAUCAGUGUCUAUCCCAUGGCAAAAUGAGAUGAUAGAAACAGAGUGCUUCAAGGAGCUGAAUGUGUUUGGACCAAAUGGUACUAUUUCACCAGACCUAAACAAAAGCUACCCCCCAGAGCCACCCAAGAAAGGAUUGCUACAGAGAAUAUUUAAGCGACAGUGAAUUGAUUUGACUCCUGGAGCUCGAGUGAGUCUUCUUUGCUUCAUUCCUCAAGAACUGCCAUGGUCCUGCUGACCUAGAGGGAAUACAGCAUCAGAACAAUUCAAAGAGCUCUCCAAAUUCAAAGGCCAGUUUAAAUCACCACAUAAAUUCAAAUCACGUGAGCUCAAACUCCACUGGAAGCAGCUAGUUCCAGCUCAGUUUUGUGAAACAACAUGUUGCAUCCUUCCACUAUAAUCUCUGGAGCUUCUGUGGAUGAGAGAGCCUCCACCAUUGAGUGAAAAUAAAAGGGAUCUCCCCAAAUGGAGAUUUUCUAUCCAUUCCUUCCAGUGGAGCCUCGCAUUUUAAGAAGAAUUUUCCACUCAGGUCUGUUUUUGGAGGUGGCACUCAAGACUGUGUGAAUCACAUUUGUCUAUUUAGAACAUUGCAAUAGAAAUUCAAUGAACAUGACUACUUGCACGUAUUUAAAUAGCAUCAUACUAGAACUGAAUUUUGUCUUUAUUAUUUUUAAAGAAAAGUUUUGUAAAUUUCUCUAUUGUCUCAGUUUACAUUUUGUACAUUUGUAUUUAAAUGAAAGUCAGACUUUGGAGGUGUAUAUUUUCCAAGCAGCAGCUGUAAAGCCAUGUGUUUUAAGACAUUUUUUUAAAAGAAACAAAAUGUGACUCAAGACUUCCAGAGCCUCAAAUGAGAAAUCAUUCUUUUUAGCAAUUCUAGAAAAUUCUUCAUAAAUCACUUUAUCAGACUGGGGUUUAAUGACAUGCAUUUUUAUGGAACAGUUUAUUCUUAAUUAUUUUACAUCUGUAUAUUUGGUUUACAGCAACACUGCAUACAUUUCUCCUCUUCAUUAGUUUGUAAUGUCUCGCAUUAAAUGCUAACAGACAAGAUUUUGGUGCAUUCAAGAAUGCUACUUGCCAUGCUGAAGGUUUGUGAUGUCAUGGGACCAGCCCAGCUGAGAUUUGCACUUCCUUCUGUUGUUGUUUCAUCAAGUACUUUUUAGUUAGAAAAGGAGCCCUAUUUGAAGCUCUUCUCCUUCACUAGUUUUUGUGCUGUUUCUAAUGACAGAUAGAACAAAGCUGAGUGAGAGGUGGCCUGGAAAGCAAACGUCCAUUUAUUUUUCAAACCUGCACCUGCUGAAAUGAGAGCAAAACUCAAAGUAUUCUCUGUGCUACAGUCAAAUUCCAAGGCCUUUCCACAGCUUCUCAUAUCAAAGAGGUAGCAAGAGAGAAGUUCGACAGUCUGGUUUGUGCUGACCCUGGGAUUUGUGAUGACUUAGAGCUGAGCUGUGGAGGUUCAGAGUGGCAGCAGCAGAACCUACAGGCUGUUUCUGCACUUAGAGUCCUUCCAUGUGUCAUGCAAGCACCCCAUGACUCCCCCCUCGAUUAGAUCCUCAGCUGAAUAAAAUAUCAGUUCUGAAAUAGUACCUCCCACAUUGGGUUCCAUCAUCCUUUGUCCAGGAUCCUUUAACCAUUGACAAAAACAUUGUCCCCACUGGUAUAAACAGGACCAGUCAGGAUCAGCAGCAGAACCUCAGGCAUCAGAAUCGUGCUCUUCUCAAGUAUGCCCCUAUCUAUUAUUGGUAAGAACACCAGAGCAAAAAUAUGGUUACUUCCCUUCAGCAGGAAUUGGAAGACCUUUGUCCCCCCAGCUGCAGGCAGUGUGUUCUGUAAAGCAUGUUGGUUCCCCAUGCUCUUUGCAGUGUUGGCUGCACUGUACUGAUGAUUUUACACCUUUGGGUCAUCGGGAACAUCUGAAGCCAGCUGAUGUGUCUAAAACCCUGUUAGCUUGUAGUGCAGCUAUCCCAGGGUACAAGGAAGUUCCAGUGGAACUUUUAAUAGUCAAAAUUCCUUAGACUGUCAGGUGUAUGUUCUAUGUGUCCAGUGCUGAGGGGGAAGAAGAUGCAGGUUAGUAGUGGCAAGUCUCUGAGUGAGAAAGACACUGGAAUACAGAGUAAAGCAGCUUGAGGUCAUGAGGGAGAGAGAAAUGACAGGGGCAGGACUUGCACAAAGCAGCUGGCAGAGAAAAGUUGAGAAAGGGAGAUGAGGCUUGAGCCACUCUGCCAUGGCAGAUGAUGGCAUUGCAGGUCUUACAGAAGAUGCAAGAUUUCAGGCAGGUAGUAAUAGAUGAGAAUUAUAACCAAUUUUAUCUCUCUGAACCAGCUAUAAAUCAAAUCUGUAAUGGUUUCAGCUUCCUGAUGAAGACUAACAUUUUCUUUCUUUACCAUCUAAUAACAACAAAACCCUUACUGAAAGAUGGUGAACAAAUUGCAAAUACAGGUUGGAGCUGGCCUUAUACAUCUUAGCUGCCACCAGCAUUAUCUAGUGGUGGAUGACUUCUGAGUGACAACAGUGAAGGACAGCGUCUGUGCCUUGUCCUGCUCUCCUUUCAGCUGGCACAGUUCCUCACUCAGCACCUCUAGGACUCUACCAGUGGAGACACAGGGACAGUGCAAAGUCCUGGAAGGAUGAGAGCUGCAUUCAUUGACUCCUGAUGCUUAGAGGACACUGUGGUAGGAUGAGAUAUCCUGACUCCUCAAGGUGUGCACCUGAAGGCCUAGGAUAGACUCCCUCUGGAUUCCACCUCCUUGGGAGAGUGAGUGAGGAAGAGCAGAGACACAAAACAAGAUAAUUGAGGGAGAUUUCGUGCUGCAUCCCUUAAGUGUGUCCAUCCUGAAUGACAAACUAUAAACAGUAUUAUGAUACUGGAGCAGCAGAACUGUUGUGCUUUUUCAGUGCCCAGCAACGAAAGACUUAAUAUUGUACAUCUCUAGUGCUGAGGAACAGUCCUAGAGAUCUCCCUGCCAGGGUUUGCCUACAACAAAACCUGCAGGAUUUCUUUCUUAUAGCCUUUUUUUUUUUUUUUUUAAUUAUUCAGCUCACCUUGCACUCAAGACUGGAGUAGGACCACAGUCCUCUCACUUCCACUAUGUGACCAGGCGCAAUUUGGUUUGAUGGAUUUUCUCUGCCUCCUUUUCAAUUACAAUACAAAUUCUUUCCAAAAAAAUGCAUAUAUUCGGAUCUAGUUGCUUGUUUUAAAUAGACAGAUAAGCAAACUUAGCUCUUUUUAAGAAUCAGAAAUUGUGCAAUCUGAUCCUGAAUUGUGCAAACAUGUUUUUUUUUAUUUUUAAAUCUUUACUGAGCAGUCAGAUGAACACUAAUUGGUUUACAGGCUUCUGUAAGUCAGGUGUUUGCUAUCCAUUUUCUACAGUGUCUCAAGGUUCACUUGAGUCCUGUAGCAUUUUUUCCCACUCUCUGUUGGAUGGGAGGCUUUUUUUAAACCAAGGGAUAAUGAAGGAAAAAAUAACAAACUCUUGAGUGUGCACCCUUGACCUGGAUUAUCUAAAAAGAGAUUUUUCACAAGCAUGGCCAUGACUCAGAUGUUGUUCCUGAACAAAAAGCUGCCUGUGAAGUUCAGAAAGGUGUGAAGAUAAUCAAGCCAAGCAGGUACUGGAGAUCAAGCUGAGCGUUAGGGAACUGCAGAAUUCAAUAUCACAGUGUCCAUCUGGCCCUACUGAUUAGAGACUCCUGGUAACUGGCAGUUCAGAGACAGAACAGCUCUCUGUAAAAACAGUUUAAUACCAUCUCAAUUUGCAGUCAUCCCAGAAACUAUGGCUGGGAGUGCCAUCAGCAGUGGGAAUCAAGCUUGGCUGACCCAGUAAAGCAAGUGAGAACCCCCUCAGCCUGGAUGAACAGCCAUCACAGAGGUCUCUGUUCCCAUGUGUCCCAGCCUCAGUCAGGAGUUCCCUGCACAGGCUUUUCUGGAAGAGCAAUAAAUGCCCCUCCUUAUAGCACAGCUGCUUCUUCUCACCAAUCCCCAUGGAACAGGAGGCUGCAGGAACUGGCUUCACUGUGGACAAGAUAUGUGUGUUUUAACCUCUCUCCACAUUUAGUUGUGCUCAUUCUUUUUGUUCAGUUGGUAUUUGUAAUGCUCAAGUUGCUCAGUGUAGAGGAGAUCAUUCAUCAGGCAUUUCUAAGCAUUUCCCUUACAGUCUUUGGAAAGACUGGAUUUUUCUUUCAAGGAACAUCUUUGGGUUGGUCUGUCCCUUGGCAUGUAGUCCAUCUUCCUUCAUGUGUGUAGCAUGAAGCACAAAGUGCCCUGCAGGAGCUUUAGAAGUCCAGACUUAAAGGUUCUCCUGCCCAAGGAUGGUCCUAGUCUGGGUCAGGCAGGGAAGUUUGGGAGAAUCUGUUCAAUGGCUCCAUGAAAAACAGGAGAUUCCAGAGUUGUCUAUCUCAUGCCUUUCACAGAUAUGCCCUGACACUGAAAAUGCUACUAAUUAUUUGGAGUAAAAAUAAUGACUAGCACCCUCAUGCUAAAGCUGAGAGAAAGUCUGCAUAAAUUUAAAACAAUUCUUCUCUUUUGUGUGCUGGGCAGGAUACAGUGUCUUUUACACUAAAUAAUAUUACAGUGCUGGCUGGUAAUAAUUGUCUGUCCUUAACUGAAAGGAAAAAAAAAAAAAAAGAUAAAUAAAUUGCUUUAGAGAAUUUUAAAGUUAUUUCCUUUAAGGAAAAUAAAAAAUUUCAUCAGAGAAGGUGAAAGCCAACAACAUGCUACAGUAUUAUACACUCACCUCUCCCAAACAUCACUAUGAUAACACAAAUACAAGCUGCUGCUGUUGGAUCAGCUAAGCUGGGGUACUGACAAAUGGGCUUCAUGAAAGAAACAAUUUUAAACAGAUUGCUACCUAUUCACUAUAAUGAAUAUUACUGCUGGCACAUACUCUUCUCCUUGGUUUAUGUACUGGAGCCAGGGGUGAUGGUUUGGGUUCCUAUUCUGCCCAUGUUUUUCUUCACUGCCCGGGGCAAACCUCUGGGCAGUUUUGUUUUCCCACUCUUAAAUAUGGAGGGAUGCUCUCUGUCUGUCAGUUGAAAGCACUUUGGAGUCUGUGCAUAAACCAGAUCAAUAUCAACUCUUUGUAUUAUUAUUUCAGUGAAAUAGGCUUAGUAUAGCUGCUCUUAUUUACAUGACUGGGGAGACGACUUUUCUAAAUUAGGGCUCUUUUAUUAUUGGUUUGUCUUAGUUCCUUAGAGACACUGAAAGAGAAAGCACUGCACUUCUGUGAGACAUCUCCAGCAGACCAUGAGGUGACAGUGCAAAUGUUAAAAGUAUUAAUUUCUUACUUAAAAGCUGGCCAGUAAUGAUAGCAUUCCCAUGAACACUUCCUCUUUUUUUAGAUAAAUAGUUACGAGGAAGGGAACAAAAUAACAUUCAUUGGUUCAACUUUUUUGGCCGAGGCUGCAAAGGAUUCCCUGCAUUACCAGUUGAGUGAGGAUUCCCUGCAUUAGCAGUUGAGUGAGGGGCUGUGUGAAGUCCCAGAGGAGCAUCUGUGGCCAGCACUGGGUCAGCUCUGCCCAGCCAUGGAAACAAAAGAGGCAACACGCCUGGGAUCGGGGGGCUCCGAAGGGGAGCUCCUGGAGAAGAUUCACUGCCAGAGAAGGAACACCUCAGGUGGUGGCUGGAUGGCAAGUGUUCUCCUGUCUCAUCACCCCACCCACAGCUGUCAGAUACGUUGAUUAGCGAGCUCAAACGAGUUGUUUCAUGUGUGUUGGAUGCGGUCUCCCUUAACUGCAUUUCUUUUAAACACUGGACACUCUUCUAAAAGACUGAACAUUUUAGCCUUUUGAAGGUGAAAGUUGUAAAAACUUUGUUUUGUGUUUCUGAGCAAUGUAGAUAGACCUAAAGAUUUCAUGAACUAUCAUGUGGUUGCCCAUAUCCAACUAAUAAUUAAAUUGUAAAAUUGCAGUUUCAUAUUAGGGUUAGUCUUUUCACCUGCUUUAAAAAUUAAAAAUCAUAUUUGGUAUAUAAACACACACAGAAUAUCCUGAUUCAAUUUCAAGAGCAUAUCCAGGAUUAAAUGUUUUUAAGCACUUCUAAUACUGUAGUCUAUAAGAGGAGCAGACACUUCUAAAGCAAUGUUAAAAGUUGUCUUUCAUAACUGAGUCAACAGAUCAUUUUUGUAAUAAAUUAAAGCAAGUGUUCUCAAUUAGAA